AUUGAACGCUGGCGGCAUGCCUUACACAUGCAAGUCGAACGGCAGCACGGGAGCUUGCACCUGGUGGCGAGUGGCGAACGGGUGAGUAAUACAUCGGAACGUACCUUAUCGUGGGGGAUAACGAAGCGAAAGUUGCGCUAAUACCGCAUACGCCCGGAGGGGGAAAGCGGGGGACCGUACGGCCUCGCGCGAUUAGAGCGGCCGAUGUCUGAUUAGCUUGUUGGUGAGGUAAAAGCUCACCAAGGCGAUGAUCAGUAGCCGGUCUGAGAGGACGAUCAGCCACACUGGGACUGAGACACGGCCCAGACUCCUACGGGAGGCAGCAGUGGGGAAUUUUGGACAAUGGGGGCAACCCUGAUCCAGCAAUGCCGCGUGAGUGAAGAAGGCCUUCGGGUUGUAAAGCUCUUUUGUCAGGGAAGAAACAGCAGCUCUAACACAGUCUGCGAAUGACGGUACCUGAAGAAUAAGCACCGGCUAACUACGUGCCAGCCGCCGCAGUAA
rnacentral:rRNA from 1 species